UGUGUGCGUGCGUGUGUGUGCAUGUUUCCCAGUACCAGCCCCAGUACCAGAGCCUAGGCAAAUGGAUUCCACUCAGGUCUCUCAUGAUGAACGCUCUUGCCGACUUGCGGCGGGACUCUGCCUCUAUUGUGCUGCUACUGAUCACUACAUUGGGGCCUGUCCUAUGAAACCCCCAUGUCCUGCAUCUCAGCUUUGGUCGACUUGGGCUCCUCGGGCAACUUCAUCUUGCAAGGCCUUCUCGGGCAACUUCAUCUUGCAAGGCCUUCUAAGUCGUCUUCAGCUGCCUUGUCGCCAUCAUGCCCAGAAACUCCGAGUCGAUACUAUCCAAAAAAUGCCACUAGGACGUGGGCAUGUGAGAUAUAAGGCCCCUUACUUGAAACUCAAUAUCGGUAACUUCCAUGAAGAGGAAAUCACCUUUCUGGUACUGGAGGGACCCACGGUGGACAUCAACCUGGGAUGCCCCUGGCUCAUCCUCCAUUCUCCAGAGAUCAGAUGGGACUCCUGUGAGGUUAAUUGCUAGAGCAAAUUCUGUCACUAACACUGCCUCACUAAACUUCUAAGUCCACUCCACAAGCCACCAGCUUCCCAGAUCGCUUCCGUGCAUAUUGAAAUUCCUGAGCCAAAACUCCCUCCAUCCCAUCUGAUUAUGUGGCAUUCCAGGAUGUCUUUAGUAAGCAGGCAGCCCGAGUUUACCCGCUGUCCAUCCUGGAGUGCAAAGCUAUAGAGGUGUACAUGAAGGAGGCUCUUAACCAAGGAAUCAUCCAGCCCUCCAGCUCACCAGCGGCCUCAAGUUUCUUCUUCAUGGAUAAGAUGGACGGGGGCUUGUGGCCCUGUAUUGAUUAUGGAGCUCUGAAUUCCCAGAUGUUCAAACUCCCUUUUCCACUUCCCCUGGUCCCUGUGGCUCUUGAGGAACUCUGUGGGGCAUGUAUCUUCUCUAAGCUGGACCUGCGAAGCGCAUAUAACCUUGUUUGCAUCCGGGAAGGCAAUGAAUGAAAGACGGCCUUCAUUACCCCUUCUAGACACUAUGAGUACCUCAUUAGGCAGUAUGGCCCUGCCAAUGCCCCAUCCAUCUUCCAGGGGUUUAUGAACGAGGUGUUCUGGGAGUUGCUCCACAAGUUCGUGAUCAUUUACAUCAAUGAUAUACUCAUUUACUCCUGGAACCUGGCUGACCAUUGCCACCACAUUAAGCAGGUCCUUCAGAGGGUACGUCAGCACCACCUGUACCUCAUGCUGGACUAGUGUGAGUUCCACUGCUCCACGGUGCAAUUCUUAGGCUACAUCAUCGGCCAGGAGGAAAUUCAGAUGGACCAGGGGAAGGUGACUGCCAUCAUGUAGUGGCCCAUUCCCCAGUCUGUAAAGGAGCUUCAGAGGUUCCUUGGAUUUGUAAUUUCUAUAGGCACUUCAUCAAGGAUCUCAGUCUGCAUAGAGCCCCAUUGACCACCCUGCUCCGAGGAAAGCCCAAGUCCCUGUUCUGGAACUCCAGCACCCACAAAGCCUUUGAGAAUCUCAAGAACACAUUUAGCAUGGCUCCCAUUCUUCGCCAUCCUGAUCCCCAUCUACUGUUUGUGGUGGAAGUGGAUGCCUCCACCACAGGAGUUGGAGCCGUGCUUUCUCAGCAAUUUAGUGAGUCUCCACGCCUCCACUGUUGCUCAUACUGUGCUAUUCCAAGAAACUGACCCCAGCGGAGAAGAACUACGAUAUCUGUAACAGGGAGCCACUGGCCAUAAAACUGGCCCUAGAAGAGUGGCAGCAUUUGCUAGAGGGAGCCAACCAUCAUUUCACUGUCAUCACUGACCACACAAACUCCAAUAUCUCUGUGAUGCCAAGAGACUCAAUCCCCGGCAGGCCCGAUGGGCUCUAUUUUUCACCCAGUUUAAUUUCAUCAUUAACUACCACCCAGGAAACAGAAAUUGUGAAGCCGAUGCCCAAGCACCUUCCCCUACCCAUUUCUUGUCAGCCCUGAUCACACAUGGAAGUCUAUUUUGUAACCAACCUACCUGAAUCCAAUGGUAACACAUGCAUCCUACUGGCAAUGGAUCAUUUCUCAAAAGCCUGCAAGUUAAUUCACAUACCUGGGUUACAAACAGCCCUCAAAACCACGGAACAACUGUUCACCCACGUCUUCAGGAACUUUGGACCAGUGUACCAUAACCAAUGAACUGUCUCUCAAUAUUCCAGAUUAUCACCUGCCAUUUGUUCCUCACGAUCCAAAUUCAAGUCUUUCAAUAAAUCACCUUGUUACUCCUCUGA